AGAAUCAACGCUGGCGGCGUGCCUAACACAUGCAAGUCGAACGAGAAAGUGGAGCAAUCCAUGAAUAAAGUGGCGCACGGGUGAGUAACACGUGACUAACCUACCCUUGAGUGGGGAAUAACUUCGGGAAACCGAGGCUAAUACCGCAUAACACCUACGGGUCAAAGGAGCAAUUCGCUUAAGGAGGGGUCGCGGCAGAUUAGUUAGUUGGCGGGGUAAUGGCCCACCAAGACGGUGAUCUGUA
rnacentral:rRNA from 1 species